AGCGCAGGCGGUUAUUUAAGUCAGGUGUGAAAGCCCCGAGCUCAACUUGGGACGUGCAUUUGAAACUGGAUAACUAGAGUGUGUCAGAGGGGGGUAGGAAUUCCACGUGUAGCAGUGAAAUGCGUAGAGAUGUGGAGGAAUACCGAUGGCGAAGGCAGCCCCCUCGGGAGUAACACUGACGCUCAUGCUCGAAAGCGUGGGUAGCAAACA
rnacentral:rRNA from 1 species